rnacentral:rRNA from 1 species
UGCUGGAGGUAUCAGAAGUGCGAAUGCUGACAUAAGUAACGAUAAAGCGGGUGAAAAGCCCGCUCGCCGGAAGACCAAGGGUUCCUGUCCAACGUUAAUCGGGGCAGGGUGAGUCGACCCCUAAGGCGAGGCCGAAAGGCGUAGUCGAUGGGAAACAGGUUAAUAUUCCUGUACUUGGUGUUACUGCGAAGGGGGGACGGAGAAGGCUAUGUCAGCCGGGCGACGGUUGUCCCGGUUUAAGCAUGUAGGCGGAGGUUCCAGGUAAAUCCGGUACCUUAUUAACGCUGAGGUGUGAUGACGAGGCACUACGGUGCUGAAGUGAUAAAUGCCCUGCUUCCAGGAAAAGCCUCUAAGCAUCAGGUAACACGAAAUCGUACCCCAAACCGACACAGGUGGUCAGGUAGAGAAUACCAAGGCGCUUGAGAGAACUCGGGUGAAGGAACUAGGCAAAAUGGUGCCGUAACUUCGGGAGAAGGCACGCUGAUAUGUAGGUGAAGUCCCUGCGGACGGAGCUGAAAUCAGUCGAAGAUACCAGCUGGCUGCAACUGUUUAUUAAAAACACAGCACUGUGCAAACACGAAAGUGGACGUAUACGGUGUGACGCCUGCCCGGUGCCGGAAGGUUAAUUGAUGGGGUUAGCGGCAACGCGAAGCUCUUGAUCGAAGCCCCGGUAAACGGCGGCCGUAACUAUAACGGUCCUAAGGUAGCGAAAUUCCUUGUCGGGUAAGUUCCGACCUGCACGAAUGGCGUAAUGAUGGCCAGGCUGUCUCCACCCGAGACUCAGUGAAAUUGAACUCGCUGUGAAGAUGCAGUGUACCCGCGGCAAGACGGAAAGACCCCGUGAACCUUUACUAUAGCUUGACACUGAACACUGGUCCUUGAUGUGUAGGAUAGGUGGGAGGCUUUGAAGCGUGGACGCCAGUCUGCGUGGAGCCAACCUUGAAAUACCACCCUUUAAUGGCUGGUGUUCUAACGUAGACCCGUAAUCCGGGUUGCGGACAGUGUCUGGUGGGUAGUUUGACUGGGGCGGUCUCCUCCCAAAGAGUAACGGAGGAGCACGAAGGUUGGCUAAUCCUGGUCGGACAUCAGGAGGUUAGUGCAAUGGCAUAAGCCAGCUUGACUGCGAGCGUGACGGCGCGAGCAGGUGCGAAAGCAGGUCAUAGUGAUCCGGUGGUUCUGAAUGGAAGGGCCAUCGCUCAACGGAUAAAAGGUACUCCGGGGAUAACAGGCUGAUACCGCCCAAGAGUUCAUAUCGACGGCGGUGUUUGGCACCUCGAUGUCGGCUCAUCACAUCCUGGGGCUGAAGUAGGUCCCAAGGGUAUGGCUGUUCGCCAUUUAAAGUGGUACGCGAGCUGGGUUUAGAACGUCGUGAGACAGUUCGGUCCCUAUCUGCCGUGGGCGCUGGAGAAUUGAGGGGGGCUGCUCCUAGUACGAGAGGACCGGAGUGGACGCAUCACUGGUGUUCGGGUUGUCAUGCCAAUGGCACUGCCCGGUAGCUAAAUGCGGAAGAGAUAAGUGCUGAAAGCAUCUAAGCACGAAACUUGCCCCGAGAUGAGUUCUCCCUGAGACUUUAAGUCUCCUGAAGGAACGUUGAAGACUACGACGUUGAUAGGUCGGGUGUGUAAGCGCAGCGAUGCGUUGAGCUAACCGAUACUAAUGAACCGUGAGGCUUAACCUUACAACGCCGAAGCUGUU